AUUGAACGCUGGCGGCAGGCUUAACCCAUGCAAGUCGAACGAGUGGCGGAAGGGCGAGUAAUGCUUGGGAAUAUGGCUUACGGACGGAGCUGACUACGGGAAACUGUAGCUAAUAGCGCGAACCAUAGUAUGAGCACAAGUGGGAUUAGGUAGUUGGUGAGGUAAAGGCUCACGAAGCCGACGAUCCCUAGCUGGUCUGAGAGGAUGACCAGCCACACUGGGACUGAGACACGGCCCAGACUCCUACGGGAGGCAGCAGUGGGGAAUAUUGCGCAAGGGGGGAAACCUGACGCAGCCACGCCGCGGGAAUGAAGAAGGCCUUCGUGUUGUAAAGUUCUUUCGGUAGCGAGGCGUUAACUACAGAAGAAGCACCGGCUAACUACGUGCCAGCCGCCGCGGUAAUAC
rnacentral:rRNA from 1 species